rnacentral:rRNA from 1 species
UACGUAGGGUGCGAGCGUUAAUCGGAAUUACUGGGCGUCAAGCGUGCGCAGGCGGUUUUGUACGACAGAUGUGAACUCCCCGGGCUUAACCUGGGAACUGCAUUUGUGACUGCAAGACUAGAGUACUGGAGAGGGUGGUGGAAUUCCUCGUGUAGCGGUGAAAUGCGUAGAGAUGAGGAGGAACACCAGUGGCGAAGGCGGCCACCUGGACAGUAACUGACGCUGAGGCGCGAAAGCGUGGGUAGCAAACAGG